GCCCUCUCAGCCUCGCACCUGGAGAGUUUUUAGUACUCUACCAGUCUCGACUACGGGAGGGAGAGUCAAGCAGAGAUAUAUCCAAUCCGUUCCUAGCUUGGAGAGCGGCUAGCGAGUGGAAGGUAAUCUGCUACAAUU